CCUACGGGAGGCAGCAGUGAGGAAUAUUGGUCAAUGGACGAAAGUCUGAACCAGCCAUGCAGCGUGAAGGAUGACUGCCCUAUGGGUUGUAAACUUCUUUUAUAUGGGAAUAAAAUGUUCUACGUGUGUGAUUUUGUAUGUACCGUAUGAAUAAGGAUCGGCUAACUCCGUGCCAGCAGCCGCGGUAAUACGGAGGAUCCGAGCGUUAUCCGGAUUUAUUGGGUUUAAAGGGAGCGUAGGUGGUUUGUUAAGUUAGUUGUGAAAGUUUGGGGCUCAACCGUAAAAUUGCAGUUGAUACUGGGAGUCUUGAGUACAGUAGAGGUAGGCGGAAUGCGUGGUGUAGCGGUGAAAUGCUUAGAUAUCACGAAGAACACCGAUUGCGAAGGCAGCUCACUGGACUGUAACUGACGCUGAGGCUCGAAAGUGUGGGUAGCAAACAGGAUUAGAUACCCCGGUAGUC
rnacentral:rRNA from 1 species